rnacentral:rRNA from 1 species
UGGGGAAUUUUGGACAAUGGGGGCAACCCUGAUCCAGCCAUGCCGCGUGUCUGAAGAAGGCCUUCGGGUUGUAAAGGACUUUUGUCAGGGAGCAAAACAGACGGAUGAAUAAUUCGUCUGGCUGAGAGUACCUGAAGAAUAAGCACCGGCUAACUACGUGCCAGCAGCCGCGGUAAUACGUAGGGUGCAAGCGUUAAUCGGAAUUACUGGGCGUAAAGGGUGCGCAGGCGGUUAUACAAGCUUGAUGUGAAAGCCCCGGGCUUAACCUGGGACGUGCAUUGAGGACUGUAUGACUAGAGUACGUUAGAGGGGGGUGGAAUUCCACGUGUAGCAGUGAAAUGCGUAGAGAUGUGGAGGAACACCGAUGGCGAAGGCAGCCCCCUGGGAUGAUACUGACGCUCAAGCACGAAAGCGUGGGUAGCAAACA